AACGUAGGAGACAAACGUUAUCCGGAGUUACUGGGCGUAAAGCGUGCGCAGGCGGUUUUGUAAGUCUGUCGUGAAAUCCCCGGGCUCAACCUGGGAAUUGCGAUGGAGACUGCAAGGCUAGAAUCUGGCAGAGGGGGGUAGAAUUCCACGUGUGAGCAGUGAAAUGCGUAGAGAUGUGGAGGAACACCGAUGGCGAAGGCAGCCCCCUGGGUCAAGAUUGACGCUCAUGCACGAAAGCGUGGGGAGCAAACAGG
rnacentral:rRNA from 1 species